CUGCUGCCGCCGGACCACUCUGUCAGAUACAUCCCAUCUCUGCUCAUUUGUAUCACCUGCUUCAGAAGCAGAGUUACCGAGUGGCUGCAUCUGAUUGGCUGAGCAGGUCACAUGACCGCACUGCAGCCGCAAAGGAGGCUGGGAAAGUGAGGUCUGGUUUUUAGGGUAGGAAGAGGGCUCCACCUCCCUGGCAGACCAACAAGGUAGGAGAUGCUCCAAAUACAUGCUGGAGAUCCAUGAAAAGUAUAAAGGUUGUCUCUGCAGGGUGAGAGACCAUUUGCUCCCUGAUCUGCAGAGUCUGUGGCUGCCUGUCUCAUCCCCCUGCUCCCAGCAUUAGGAAAAUGCCUCUCCAAUAGGCUUCAGGAAGGUCUAUGGUGAACUGACUCACCUGGAAUCAGACAACACUGGCACUGGGGAACCACACCGGGGGAUCCCUGCAAGAGAAAUUUGAAGACUAACAUAGGAUGGCCCACUUUUUAUUUUGCCAAGAAUUUCUCUUUCUCUUUUUUGUUUUUGUUUUUGUUUUUGUUUUUUGUUUUUCAGGGCCACACCUGUGGCAUAUGGAGAUUCCCAGGCUAGGGGUUGAAUCAGAGCUGUAGCUACUGGUCUAUACCACAGCCACAAACGCCAGAUCCAAGCUGUGUCUGCAACCUACACUGCAGCUCAUGGCAACACCAGAUCCUUGACCCACUGAGAGAGGCCAGAGCUCAAACCUGCGUCCUCAUGGAUGCCAGACAGAUUUGUUUCUGCUGAGCCAUGAUAGGAACUCCUUUUUUUUUUCCCCCGCCAAGAAUUUCAAAAGCAAAUAACAAAUAAACCACGUUCUAUUCUCACCAUCAUUUUAUAAAAGAGGGGCCAUCUUAAACACCAAAAAGACAAACAAAAAAACAGGACAAGGAAGAAUUUUACAAUAAGCACAAUCCUUACAAUUAAAUACAUAUUAGCUAUAAGAAAAACUCCAUAUAUCCAGAUUUUUCUGCUUUCACUGGAAACCUAUGUAAAGGUCCUGACAGAGUGACUUUGAACUGGACUGGGAGCGACAUAAUGUUAUUGUAUCAAUGCUAAGUUUCCUGAUUUUGUUAACAGCAGGGGUUGUGUAAGUCUUACAAGGUAAGAGAAUGUCCUUAUUCUUAGGAAAUACACCCUGAAACAUUUAGAGGUAAAAGGGCACCUGUCUCAACUUACUCUCAAAUAGUUUGGAAGAAAAUUAUACAUACGUACACAGAGAAAGAGAAUGUAAACAAGACAAUAUGUAAAUAAUUGCUAAAUCUGAAUAAAAACUGUACCAGAAUCUUUGUACUAUUCUUGCCACUUCUUUUGUAAUUUUUUUUUCUUUUUUUUUUUUUUUUUUGUCUCUUUAGGGCCACACCCGAAGCAUAUGAAAGUUCCCAGGCUAGGGGUCAAAUUGGAGCU
rnacentral:lncRNA from 1 species